AUUGAACGCUGGCGGCAUGCCUUACACAUGCAAGUCGAACGGCAGCACGGGAGCAAUCCUGGUGGCGAGUGGCGAACGGGUGAGUAAUAUAUCGGAACGUGCCCGGUCGUGGGGGAUAACGUAGCGAAAGCUACGCUAAUACCGCAUACGAUCUACGGAUGAAAGCGGGGGAUCGCAAGACCUCGCGCGAUUGGAGCGGCCGAUAUCAGAUUAGGUAGUUGGUGAGGUAAAGGCUCACCAAGCCGACGAUCUGUAGCUGGUCUGAGAGGACGACCAGCCACACUGGGACUGAGACACGGCCCAGACUCCUACGGGAGGCAGCAGUGGGGAAUUUUGGACAAUGGGCGCAAGCCUGAUCCAGCAAUGCCGCGUGCAGGAUGAAGGCCUUCGGGUUGUAAACUGCUUUGUACGGAACGAAACGGUGAGCUCUAAUACAGUUUGCUAAUGACGGUACCGUAAGAAUAAGCACCGGCCAACUACGUG
rnacentral:rRNA from 1 species